rfam:Nomascus leucogenys chromosome 17, whole genome shotgun sequence.
AUCCUUUCGUAGUUCAUAAGUGUGAUGACUGUGAUUUCAUGCUCAUGCGCGAGAGAUGGGUGGGCCUCCCUCAAACUUUGUUACAAUGUUGGCCCAUUAGCCAUCUGAUG